UCCAAUGUUGCACUCUUUGACAGAUUCAAGCGAAAGUGAAAAAAAAUUGUAAUUUGAAGCCAAAAAAUCAGUCAAGGCUUAGUCUAAUAAAUUUUGAAUGGACAAUUUAACAAACGACAAGUUAUUAUAGUAAAGGCAAUUAAAUAUAUCGCGCAUGAUAGGAUUAAUAUCUUGGUGCUUGGAUAUAAAACGUGCAUUCCGCUAAUGGCGUGCUGUAUUUUCAAAAACUGUUUCAACCGUCCGACACCGUUCUCGAAAGUCACAUUUUUCAAUGUGCCCAAGGACAGCAGGCGCCAACUGUGGCUGGAACGAUCCGGCAACGAGCAAGUUCAAAAUCUACCUCUGACGUCGCGGCGAGUUGUUUGUGAAGCGCACUUUGAAGAGCACCAUCUCCGGCGCCAAUUCCAUCGGACGACACUGAGCCGGGAUGCGGUACCCAUUAGUCAUGAAACGGUGUUUCAUUUAGUACAAGAGGAUUCUCCGCCCGUAUCGGAACGAACUGGCGAACAAGUUGCAUUGCGAUUGUGCCAAGAGAAAACGGAAACCGAUGUUAGAGAGGUUCCCAAUGGAAGCGUAAAUGAACAUGAGUGGGUUGAAGACCACUUGUCAGAAGACGAAACAGAGCUUUUGGAAAUCGAAUAUAUGGAGGAAACAGAAAACGCAUCACAGGAAGUAUACCAGGUUCAAGACGAAUCCAAAGCGGAGCUACUUUUCGAAACCAUUGCAACGCAAACAGAUACCCCCGAAACAGCAACAAAGCAGACUGAAACCCAAGAUGUCCUGGAAAGUCCUCCUUGUAAAAAACAUAAGCCUAAUGAAUCGGUCAAACUGACUACCGAUCGAGCAACUAAUACAGAUGAGAUACCAAUUAAACAAGAACGAGUGCAAUCGCCUCCGGUUGAAGAUGUCAUUCAAACUACCGAGCAGUCUACGCAAACAGAAGCACGGGAGGUGCAACCGCCAGCUGAAGUUAAACAAAAAACGGAGGAGGAAUAUUUUCUACUUUCGUUGGCCGAACCAUUGCAACGACUUCCACCGGAGAAGAGAGCCAUGGCCAAGGUGAAAAUGUUGACCUAUCUGGUGCAACUUGGUUGUGGGAUGGACAAUGCCCAAUUGUAGUAGGUAUACUUUUGUUAUGCUGUUGACGCAUUGGUUCACAUCGAAGAAGACACCUGUAGAAGCGCGAUAAAUGCAUUGCUUCUUGGAAGAAAAAUCAUUUUAGUUUGAAUAAUUGAAACAUUCCUAGAAGGCAUGACGUUAUGAAGGAAGGGAAGGGAAGCAUAGUAACUCAUAGUAACUCUACCCAAUUGAUCUAACAUGAAAUUUCCAAUAUUAUAGUGCAUGCAAGCUUCAUUAUAAAUAUGUGGUUUUGUGACCUUUGAAAACAAGUGUAUCUUUGGCUGAAUAUUCUAGAAACAUCAAAAAGUCCUGCCAAAUAAACAAAAGUGAACAAUGAU